rnacentral:rRNA from 1 species
GAAAGUAAACAAGGGCGCAUGGAGGAUGCCUAGGCUCUCGGAGGCGAAGAAGGACGUGAUAAGCUGCGAAAAGUUACGGUAAGGCGCAAAUAGCCCUAGACCCGUAAAUAUCCGAAUGGGGCAACCCGGCCAGCAAUGGCCAUACCGCCAAGCGGUAAGCCAACGCGGGGAACUGAAACAUCUAAGUACCCGCAGGAAAAGAAAAUAACAAUGAUUCCGCCAGUAGUGGCGAGCGAACGCGGAACAGCCCAAACCACCCGUGUUACGGCACGGGUGGGGUAGAAGGAUCCACGAUACGGCAAGAAAUAAGUUAGCGGAAUACGAUGGAAAUCGUAGCCAAAGACGGUGACAGCCCGGUACGCGAAAACCGACAGAAGCCCAGUGGACACCUGAGUAACCCAGGACACGAGAAAUCCGGGGCGAAUCAGCGGGGCCCAUCCCGUAAGGCUAAAUACUCCCGAGAGACCGAUAGCGAACCAGUACUGUGAAGGAAAGGUGAAAAGAACCUCGAACAGAGGAGUGAAAGAGACCCUGAAACCAUGCGCCUACAAGCGGUCGGAGCAUGUUAAAAUGUGACGGCGUGCCUUUUGCAUAAUGAACCUACGAGUUACUCUCGCUGGCAAGGUUAAGCGAUUCAGUCGCGCAGCCGAAGCGAAAGCAAGUCCGAACAAGGCGUACAGUCAGCGGGAGUAGACGCGAAACCAAGUGAUCUACCCUUGGUCAGGUUGAAGGUUGGGUAACACCAACUGGAGGACCGCACCGAUAAGCGUUGAAAAGCUUACGGAUGAACUGAGGGUAGGAGUGAAAGGCCAAUCAAACUUGGAGAUAGCUCGUACUCCCCGAAAUGCAUUUAGGUGCAGCCUCGAAGCAGAGUGAUAGAGGUAGAGCGACUGAUAAGAUGCGAGGGCUUCACCGCCUAUCAAGUCUUGACAAACUCCGAAUACUAUCACUUGGUCUUCGGGAGUGAGGGCAUGGGUGCUAAGGUCCAUGUCCGAAAGAGGAACAACUCAGACCACCAGCUAAGGUCCCGAAAUAAGGGCUAAGUUGAACAAACGAAGUAAAACUGCAAAGACAGCUAGGAUGUUGGCUUGGAAGCAGCCAUUCAUUUAAAGAGUGCGUAACAGCUCACUAGUCGAGGAGUUUUGCAUGGAUAAUAAUCGGGCAUAAGCCCUUUACCGAAGCUGUGGAUGUCGCAAGACAUGGUAGGGGAGCAUUCCGGCGGCGACGAAGGCCGUCCUCGAGGACGACUGGAGCUUCCGGAAAAGCAAAUGUAGGUAUAAGUAACGAUAAAGGGGGCGCGAAACCCCCUCGCCAUAAGACUAAGGAUUCCUGAUCAACGCUAAUCGGAUCAGGGUAAGUCGGGCCCUAAGGCGCAGCCGAACGGCGCAGCCGAUGGAAGAAACGGUAAAGAUUCCGUUACUGGAUAUAGGAGCGAUGUGGAGACGGAGAAGUGACACACCCGCCUGCCGACGGAAGCGCAGGUUAAAGGAAGUAGGUAAACGCCGGGCAGGCAAAUCCGCCUGGCGUGCCGAAGCUGACAGUAUCGAGAGCCCCCGGGCAAUCGAAUAGCGGUGGUAAUCAGGCUCCCAAGAAAAUCCGCUAAGCAUAUUCUAUAUCCACCCGUACCCCAAACGGACACACGUAGUCGGGUAGAAUAUACCAAGGCGCUCGAAAGACUCACGGUUAAGGAACUAGGCAAAUUGACCCUGUAACCUCGGGAAAAAGGGUCCCCAGUAAGAUGGGGCGCAGAGAAUAGGUCCAGGCAACUGUUUAACAAAAACACAGGGCUGUGCAAAAUUUGAAGAUGAAGUAUACAGCCUGACACCUGCCCGGUGCCGGAAGGUUAAGAGGAGAGCUAAUCGCAAGAGAAGGCUUGAAUUGAAGCCCCGGUAAACGGCGGCCGUAACUAUAACGGUCCUAAGGUAGCGAAAUUCCUUGUCGGGU